rnacentral:misc_RNA from 1 species
GAUGAAGAACGCAGCGAAAUGCGAUAAGUAAUGUGAAUUGCAGAAUUCAGUGAAUCAUCGAAUCUUUGAACGCACAUUGCGCCCGUCAGUAUUCUGGCGGGCAUGCCUGUUCGAGCGUCAUUACGCCCCUCAAGUCCCCUGUGGACUUGGUGUUGGGGAUCGGCGAGGCUGGUUUUCCAGCACAGCCGUCCCUUAAAUUAAUUGGCGGUCUCGCCGUGGCCCUCCUCUGCGCAGUAGUGAAACACUCGCAACAGGAGCCCGGCGCGGUCCACUGCCGUAAAACCCCCCAACUUUUUAUAGUUGACCUCGAAUCAGGUAGGACUACCCGCUGAACUUAAGCAUAUCAAUAAGCGGAGGA